rnacentral:rRNA from 1 species
AAGACCUUGCGCUUUUGGAGCGGCCGAUGCCUGAUUAGCUGGUUGGUGGGGUAAUGGCCUACCAAAGCUUCGAUCAGUAGCUGGUCUGAGAGGACGGCCAGCCACACUGGGACUGAGACACGGCCCAGACUCCUACGGGAGGCAGCAGUGGGGAAUUUUGGACAAUGGGCGCAAGCCUGAUCCAGCCAUGCCGCGUGAGUGAAGAAGGCCUUCGGGUUGUAAAGCUCUUUCAGCCGGGAAGAAAAGGUUGCGAUUAAUAAUCGCAAUUUAUGACGGUACCGGAAGAAGAAGCACCGGCUAACUACGUGCCAGCAGCCGCGGUAAUACGUAGGGUGCGAGCGUUAAUCGGAAUUACUGGGCGUAAAGGGUGCGCAGGCGGUUUUGUAAGUCAGAUGUGAAAUCCCCGGGCUUAACCUGGGAACU